GUCGAGGAUCAUUCGCAAUGGGCGAAAGCCUGACGAUGCGACGCCGCGUGCAGGAUGAAGGUCUUCGGAUUGUAAACUGCUGUCAUGAGGGAACAAUGGCCGGGGCGUGAACAGCGCCUCGGAAUGAUAGUACCUCAAGAGGAAGCCACGGCUAACUCUGUGCCAGCAGCCGCGGUAAUACAGAGGCGGCAAGCGUUGUUCGGAUUUACUGGGCGUAAAGGGUGCGUAGGCGGUUCCGUAUGUCGGAUGUGAAAGCUCACGGCUCAACCGUGGAAUGGCAUCCGAAACUGCGGGGCUGGAGUGCAGGAGGGGAGAGCGGAAUUCUCGGUGUAGCGGUGAAAUGCGUAGAUAUCGAGAGGAACACCGGUGGCGAAGGCGGCUCUCUGGACUGCAACUGACGCUGAGGCACGAAAGCUGGGGGAGCAAACAGGCUUAGAAACCCCAGUAGUCC
rnacentral:rRNA from 1 species